rnacentral:lncRNA from 1 species
GAAGUGUUUUGAUCCUGAAUCUUGGAUAAUUUCAUAGCUGUGUCCUCCAGAACACACACAGUCACUAAGAAACUGGUCCAGUUGAGUAGUCUGUGUAAAGUGGUUUUAUUUCACAGUGAACUCUGUGCCUUUCGAAUAGUCUGAAAAUCCCCUAAGCGGAAAUGUAGUGAGGAGAGUUCUCAUGCUUCCCGCCUCCUGUGUGGCCUGGUCCUUUGCUCAGCACACACCUGGUGAAUCGCCCAUUUUCAGUCCUUUGUGCACCACGCCCUUUGGCAGGAAGUUAUGACACACAACCUGCAGUUAAAAGAACGGUCGGUUAGGGUCACCCCUUGAGCCAGUAUUGUCAUAAAUAUUGAGAGAUUUGGCACAUGAGAUUUUUCUAUUCCCCCAGAAACACUUUGUUUUCUGUUGUUUUGUUUUGGGUUGUCUUUUUGAGACUGGGUUCUGUUAUGCAGUUCAGGCUGGCUGUGAACUCACCUUAUAGCCUAGGCUGGCCUUAAACUCUCCUCUCCUGCCUCAGCCUCCUGAGUGCUGGGAUUACAGGAGUCCACCAUACCCAGCAUUCUUACCAUUUUUAAUUCAGACAAGAACAUGUUUAAAGUGAUCUUGGAGCUUUUUUUUUUUCUUUUUCUUUUUGGUGGCAGGGGCCGAACUCAUGACCCCGUGCUUGGCGGGCAGGCAUUUAAUGCUGCUGAGCUAAAUCUCCAGCCCUUUUGGGGCUUGUUUUCCUGCCACCAGAAAAAAGCUGUUCAUUUUCCGUGGUUUGCUUGAACAUUUCUUUAUACUAUGUUGUGUGGUCACCUCGAAGCUUGAGGGUGCCAUGAAACUCUUGACUUUGGUUUUUUCUCUCAGCUCUUUAAGCUGAUUUUUUCCCCAGAUCACGUUUAAUCCCGAUUUUACCUAAAACAUAGUGGAUAGUUUGGGGUACCUUGUAGUAAUGUUUUUGUUCCUUAGCUUAUGUAUCAGUGUUUCUCCCAUAGUCCUAAUGCAUUCUGUGUGUUCCCUGCUUCCGUGGCAGAUACUGGAAAAUGAGAAAUCUGUGGAGAAGGUAAAGGAGGUUAUUUCAAUGAAUGCCUCAGAAUUUUCCAAGCUACAGCAGGAAGUUGAAGACCAGAAGUUGAACGCUGAACUCAGCGAGUGAAUCAGGACGUUGGAGAAGUCUCAGAGGGAUCUGGAAGCCACUCUCGCUGAUAAGGAUGAUAGCAUUGGUGUAAGU